GCGGAUGUGGCGGAAUUGGCAGACGCGCUAGAUUCAGGUUCUAGUAGUCGCAAGGCUGUGGGGGUUCGAAUCCCUUCAUCCGCA
rnacentral:tRNA from 1 species